rnacentral:tRNA from 1 species
GGAAGAAUAGCUCAGUGGCAGAGCACAUGCUUAGCAUGCAGGAGGUCCUGGGUUCAAUUCCCAGUACCUCGA